UUUUCCUCUGCGUCCAUCCUGAAACAAGCACCUCUCACCCCACCCGUCACACAGUGGCCCCCGGAGAUAGCGGGUGCCGAGGUGAUUCAUUGGUAGCAGUGCUGGUUAAAAAUAUUCCUCCUCCUCCUUCUCCCUCUGCUCCACUUCCCUCUGCCUGUCAGAGGAAAUGAAGCCAGCUCGUGUUCACCGCUAAACAAGACCGGAAAGGGGGCUCUGUAAGCACUUUCUUUGCUCUCUGUUGGUUGUGGUGAUGGAGGAGGGAUUGGCCGAGCGUGCUUCCUGUUGCUGUCAGCCCUGGUGAAGGUUUCAUGCAGUUGAAAUGUGAGUGUCAGUCAACAACGUGUGGAUUAUUCCAGUCAGCUGUGAACUCCUGCUGAGUCCGUCUGCAUUGCCUUUUUCCUUGCACAUCUUUGUAUGAUUCUGCCAUCAGGUUUGAAAAGAUUGCCCCCUUUCCACUGUGAUUCGCUGUGAUUUUGAUCAAAGAGAAAAGACAGUGUGCCCAGAGAGACGCGCUUCAUGCAGUGGAGUACCAUGGCGGAUUCUCCUCGGCAGCUCUGGUUGCUGUUGGCUUGGGCCAUAUGGAGAUAAAAGCCAAUGUUUGGGGUGACUGAGAGCUUUGCUCUUUGUCAGAUGUUAUUUGUGUUCAUUGUCUCGGGUUGACUUGAUGUGUGUUGACUCUGUUAGCUUCCAGGGAACUGAAUGGUUACUGUAUUUAGGGAACCUUUAUUUGUCUGUUUUGGGACUACUUGUUAUUCAGUGGUGUGCUCUCCAGCUUCUAGUGUUUACUGCAGAAUGUGGGCUGAUUACUGAUUACUGCUGACUGGAAAUGGAAAGUAAUCACUAGCUUGAGUAUUCUUUUCUUAGCAAGUCCUUACAUUAUUUCUGAGUACAUUUAAGUGUUGUGUGUUUUUGGUUUCUGCAGAUUUCUUGAGUGUGUGUGUUUGUGUG